rnacentral:rRNA from 1 species
UGCCUAACACAUGCAAGUCGAACGAGGUGCCAGAGCUUGCUUUGGUUACCUAGUGGCGCACGGGUGAGUAACGCGUGGGAACCUACCCGUAGGAUGGGGGACAACCGCUGGAAACGGCGGCUAAUACCGCAUACGCCCUAUGGGGGAAAAGGCUUCGGGCCGUCCUUUGGAUGGUCCCGCGUCCGAUUAGCUUGUUGGUGGGGUAACGGCCUACCAAGGCGACGAUCGGUAGCUGGUCUGAGAGGAUGAUCAGCCACACUGGGACUGAGACACGGCCCAGACUCC